AUGGAUCUAAUGCACAAGCUUACUUGCUGCAGCUUGCACGGUGAAGGGCUUGUGCGCACUGCGCGUCGAUCGAUCUCCUCCAUGGCGCCGGCCCCUUCCCUCGCUGCAUCCGCGAACGACAACCACAACGCGCCACCAUCAAUUCAGCGCGGGAAGUGGUCUGACCAUGGUGCUCUGGCAGCGGCGACGUCGCGGUUGGGGACGAGGAAGGCGAGGGCAAGCAGCGCGAGCAUGAGCGCCACGGGGACGAGCAGAAGCAGCGACGGCGGCGGCGGCAGUGGGGGCAGCAGCAGCGGGAGCAGGACGAGCGCCGCCGCCGCCCCCGCCACGAGAAGCGUCGUUGUCGCCACGCUCCCUUCCAUAUCUCGAGCCAGCUCGCUCCCGGGUCCUGGCUGGCUACAUAUGCAUGUGAUGUGA
rnacentral:rRNA from 1 species